rnacentral:rRNA from 1 species
UUUUAUGGAGAGUUUGAUCCUGGCUCAGGAUGAACGCUGGCGGCGUGCCUAAUACAUGCAAGUCGAGCGAACAGAUGAGGAGCUUGCUCCUUUGAUGUUAGCGGCGGACGGGUGAGUAACACGUGGGUAACCUACCUAUAAGACUGGGAUAACUUCGGGAAACCGGAGCUAAUACCGGAUAAUAUUUCGAACCGCAUGGUUCGAUAGUGAAAGAUGGCUCUGCUAUCACUUAUAGAUGGACCUGCGCCGUAUUAGCUAGUUGGUAAGGUAACGGCUUACCAAGGCAACGAUACGUAGCCGACCUGAGAGGGUGAUCGGCCACACUGGAACUGAGACACGGUCCAGACUCCUA